GUUCUUUUCAUGGGAUGAAGGUGCUUGCUAUGCCCCUAAGGAGAUAUGGAACAGCAUGAUGUUGGUUCAUUGGGGUAAUACAAACUCAAAGCAUAACCAUUCAACAACAGCAUAUUGGGGUGAUAAUUGGGAUCCAAUUUCCUCAGAUAGAAGAGGAAACCACACAUGUUUUGACCCUGACAAAGAUCUCGUACUUCCUGCUUGGAAACGACCUGAUGAAAGUUCUCUAAGUGCUAAACAUUGGUCCAGACCUCGUGAGGAGCGGAAAACAUUCUUCUAUUUUAAUGGAAAUCUUGGACCAGCUUAUGAAAAUGGAAGACCAGAAGAUACGUAUAGUAUGGGUAUAAGGCAAAAAGUGGCUGAAGAAUUUGGAUCAACCCUUAACAAGGAAGGCAAGCUUGGCAAGCAACAUGCAGAAGAUGUGAUAGUGACACCACUACGUGCUGGGAACUACCAUGAUGAAUUGGCAAGUUCCGUCUUUUGUGGGGUUAUGCCUGGGGAUGGUUGGAGUGGAAGAAUGGAAGAUAGUAUUUUGCAAGGAUGCAUUCCUGUGGUGAUUCAGGAUGGGAUAUACCUACCAUAUGAGAAUUUUCUCAACUAUGAAAGUUUUGCAGUUAGGAUACGUGAAGAUGAAAUACCUUAUCUGUUAAACAUUCUUCGGAGUUUUAAUGAAACAGAAAUAAAAUUCAAAUUGGAAAAUGUGAAGAAAAUCUGGCAGAGAUUUUUGUAUCGCGAUUCAGUUGUGCUUGAAGCUGAGAGACAAAAGGCAAUACGUGGGAGUGUUGAGGACUGGGGCCUAAAGUUUUUGCAGCUAGAGGAAGAUGAUGUCUUUGCCACAUUCAUACAGGUGCUGCAUUACAAGUUGCAUAAUGAUACUUG
rnacentral:misc_RNA from 1 species